GUCGAGCUUAGUUAACGUGGGCUUGUGAUCCGAGUGGAGACAAUAAGGUGAUGGGACUGUUGGGUCGAUCUAAUUGGACCGGGUUCGGGUUGGGCUAUUAACUGGCCUGCCCAUUCCAAGUUGGGAGUUGAGUCAUGUGGCUUGAGCGAAGGCUCGGGUUACGUGGCUCCUAGAGUGGAGGAGACUGCGUGAGGCUGGUUUCACAGAGCAGCGUGCACUUCCCGCUCUUGACGGUGGAAGGAUAACGGGCCAUUGCCUUCCAAGCCCACUAUGACCCAUUAGCAGGCCUCAAUUGGACCAUCACUUUU
rfam:Arabis alpina cultivar Pajares chromosome 4, whole genome shotgun sequence.